rnacentral:rRNA from 1 species
CCUACGGGUGGCUGCAGUGAGGAAUAUUGGUCAAUGGUCGGGAGACUGAACCAGCCAAGCCGCGUGAGGGAUGAAGGUACAGAGUAUCGUAAACCUCUUUUGUCCGGGAGCAAAGGCGGGGACGUGUCCCCGGAUGAGUGUACCUGAAGAAAAAGCAUCGGCUAACUCCGUGCCAGCAGCCGCGGUAAUACGGAGGAUGCGAGCGUUAUCCGGAUUUAUUGGGUUUAAAGGGUGCGUAGGCGGAGUGUCAAGUCAGCGGUAAAAUUUCAGGGCUCAACCCCGUCGUGCCGUUGAAACUGAUAGCCUAGAGUGAGUGAGAGGUAGGCGGAAUGCGUGGUGUAGCGGUGAAAUGCAUAGAGAUCACGCAGAACGCCGAUUGCGAAGGCAGCUUACCGACGCUCAACUGACGCUGAGGCACGAAAGUGCGGGUAGCGAACAGGAUUAGAUACCCGAGUAGUC